CCUACGGGUGGCAGCAGUGAGGAAUAUUUGUCAAUGGCCGUAAGUCUGAACCAGCCAAGUAGCGUGAGGGAAGACUGCCCUAUGGGUUGUAAACCUCUUUUAUGCGGGGAUAAAGUUGUCCUUGUGUGGAUGUUUGCAGGUACCGCAUGAAUAAGGACCGGCUACUUCCGUUCCAGCAGCCGCGGUAAUACGGAAGGUCCGGGCGUUAUCCGAAUUUAUUUGGUUUAACGGGAGCGUAGGCCGGUCUUUAAGCGUGCCGUGAAGUUUUGUGGCUCAACCAUGAGAGUGCGGCGCGAACUGGAGACCUGGAGUGCGCGGAAGGCAGGCGGAAUUCGUGGUGUAGCGGUGAAAUGCUUAGAUAUCACGAAGAACCCCGAUUGCGAAGGCAGCCUGCCGCAGCGUUACUGACGCUGAAGCUCGAAAGCGCGGGUAUCGAACAGGAUUAGAUACCCCUGUAGUC
rnacentral:rRNA from 1 species